CCUACGGGAGGCAGCAGUGAGGAAUAUUGGUCAAUGGGCGAGAGCCUGAACCAGCCAAGUCGCGUGAGGGAGUACUGCCCUAUGGGUUGUAAACCUCUUUUGUCGGGGAGCAAAAGCCGGACGUGUCCGGCUGUGAGAGUACCCGAAGAAAAAGCAUCGGCUAACUCCGUGCCAGCAGCCGCGGUAAUACGGAGGAUGCGAGCGUUAUCCGGAUUUAUUGGGUUUAAAGGGUGCGCAGGCGGAUUUUUAAGUCAGCGGUCAAAUCGUGGGGAUCAACCCCAUCCAGCCGUGAAAAGGGGGGAUGUGAGGUGUGGAGGGGGUAUGGGGAAGGCGUGUGUAGCGGUGAAAUGCAUAGAUAUCACGCAGAACCCCGAUUGCGAAGGCAGCAUACCGGUGCACAACUGACGCUCAGGCACGAAAGCGUGGGUAUCGAACAGGAUUAGAUACCCUUGUAGUC
rnacentral:rRNA from 1 species